rnacentral:sRNA from 1 species
UAUUCUGCCCUACCGGGAAGGAUGAGAAGCUUCGACUAAGGUUCGACUCGAGCGCCAGCGAGAGAACGUUGCCAAGGGCAACGGCCCGAAGGGCGAGGAGCGAUAGCGACGAGUUAUCCUUCCCCCUCUAUUC